GCGCGAGACCUCCGAUGAUUCCGAUGCGUUUGCCUAUGCCCGGCUGCGAACCGUUCGUUCUCAGUCCCAGCUGAACCACGGUGAAGGAAUUACACGCAAGUUUUGCCCAGUGACGAUCGCUUUAAUCCACGUGAAAGUGCACCAGCAGAGUGCUUCUAGAACCGGCAGUGAUACACGGUUUAGUUGAAUAGGUUAAAAGUGUUGGCAGAUAGAGAGGAACGCAAAGUUUUACCCCAGGAAGGCAGUAGGUGUGUUGGGACACAGUUGAAAAAGAAAGUAGUGGAAACAACCUUCACAUCAACCUUUGAGAAAGCAGACGUAAUGGCGAAGAAAGGGAAGGCUAAAAAUGGGGCGGCCACUGGCGAAGGAGAACAAGUGUCAGCUCCGGCACCGACCACCAACGCCCCAGCAGCUGAUCCAGCAAGACCCGCGCCCGCCCCAGUCAAGGAAGUUAAGGUUGAAGUGAAGCCAAGUGUGGCAGAGAAAACAUCGAACCCACCAGCUAACGGCACCGUCGAGAACGGUUCGGAAGUAAUCACCGGUGAGAAGAAGCGCAAACGUAGCCGCCGUGACCGUAAGAAGCCGUCGGCCGACGAUCCAACCCGCGAAAAGGUCCCGUCAAAUGCGACGGCGAAGAAGAAUCUGCGCAAAAAGCGCACCAAGCUGAUGCGAACCCUCGAGCAGCUGGAAGCUAGCCCGGCGGCGCAAGCACCCGCCAGCGACGGAACGCCAGCCCAAACGCCGGAAGAAAUUCGCAAGAAGAUCCAGAUCGUUGAAAGUCUGCUCGAAUCGCUGAAGGCACAAACGCAGGAAGAGCGCAAAAGGAUGGAAACGCUCAGGAAUGCGGCGAAAGCGGAGCUUAAGGAAGGACCGGCGAAGCCAGAGCCUCAACAGCCGGACAGCCCAGCGAAAGCAAAGCCAGCUUCUCCGAAGAACUUAACCACGGAACGGGCCCGCAAGGAGGGCGAAGUGAAAAAGCUCGCGAACGAAAAGGCUGAAAUUCAAAACGAAGCAAAGCGGCUGGCACAGGAAAAGGCUCGCAAGGAGCAGGAGAUGAAGAAGCUGAUCGAGGAGAAGGCAAAGAAGGACGCGGAAGCGAAGCAGCUGCACGAGGAGAAGGCGGCACGCGAGGCCGAACUGGCCAAGCUGACGCAGGCGAAAGCGCGCGUAGAGACGGUCGAGCAGAAGAUCAACGAGAUCGAUCAGAAGGUGCAGCAGCUUAAGGAAGCGGAUGAGGCGAAGGUGACCGCACCGGGCAGUCCGAAGCAGAAGAAGGAACAGCAGGCCCGCACGCGCAAGGAUUCGGAAUCGAGCAAGAAAAAGGAAGCGGAAGAGAAGGUGAAGAAGGAGGCGGAGGAGAAGGCAAAGAAGGAGGCGGCUGAGAAGGCAAAGAAGGAGGCAGAGGAGAAGGCAAAGAAGGAGGCGGCUGAUAAGGCCAAGAAGGAGGCUGAAGAGAAGGCAAAAAAGGAGGCGGCUGAGAAGGCAAAGAAGGAGGCCGAGGAGAAGGCCAAGAAGGAGGCAGAAGAAAAGGCCAAGAAGGAGGCGGCUGAAAAGGCAAAGAAGGAGGCCGAGGAGAAGGCCAAGAAGGAGGCGGAAGAGAAGGCAAAGAAGGAGGCGGCUGAAAAGGUCAAGAAGGAGGCGGCUGAAAAGGCAAAGAAGGAAGCGGAAGAGAAGGCUAAGAAGGAGGCGGCUGAAAAGGCCAAGAAGGAGGCUGAGGAGAAGGCCAAGAAGGAGGCGGCUGAGAAGGCAAAGAAGGAAGCAGAAGAAAAGGCCAAGAAGGAGGCGGCUGAGAAGGCAAAGAAGGAAGCAGAAGAAAAGGCCAAGAAGGAGGCGGCCGAAAAGGCUAAGAAGGAGGCAGAAGAGAAGGCUACGAAGGAGGCGGCCGAAAAGGUCAAGAAGGAGGCUGAGGAGAAGGCCAAGAAGGAGGCGGCAGAAAAGGCAAAGAAGGAAGCAGAAGAGAAGGCAAAGAAGGAGGCGGCUGAAAAGGCAAAGAAGGAGGCUGAGGAGAAGGCUAAGAAGGAGGCGGCUGAAAAGGCCAAGAAGGAAGCGGAAGAGAAGGUCAAGAAGGAGGCGGCCGAGAAGGCAAAGAAGGAGGCCGAGGAGAAGGCCAAACAGGAAGCAGCGGACAAGGCAAAAAAGCUAGCCGAAGAAGAAGCGAAACGGAAAACGAACGGUGAAGCAGUGAAGCAAGCGAACGGAUCAGCACCAACGACUCCAACGCAAGAAAAACCCGCCACUUCGAAGCAGGACACCAAUAAGAACAAUAAGAAAAACAACAAACGAACCCCAAAAAACAGUGUGUCGGAAGAUGAGAAAAACUCCACCAAAGUGACCGGUUCAAAAAACGUACAAAGCGGCGAUUUUGCCUCCUCUGCUGAACCCACCACGGUAGCAAAAUCGCAGGAAAGCCAAUCAGCCCCCGUGCCCGUCCAAAAGUCCCCGGAAGCUGCCCCACCUGGCUCUCCGAAAGCCUCCCCAAAACCCGCCAACGGAAAAUCCGCGGCCGCUCCGGUGAACGGCAAACAACAGACUCCGCCAGCCAAGACCCCAGAGAAGGCGCCACCACAACCCAAGACUGCAGCGGCACGUACCUCACCGCCAAAGACCACUGCCAAGGCUCCGUCGCCACCAAAAACGGCCCCAGCACCGGCACGAGCUGCACCACCGAAACCUAGCACACCACCCGCCACGAAGAAACCCGACCCACCGCCAAAGCCCGAAUUCCUCAAGAAGAAGUCACCCUCGGUGGAGAAGGAGAAGGUGACAGCUGUCAAGGCGGCACCACCGCAACAGGUACCCCCACAGACUCAGACCCCUGCAGCUGCUCCCUCCGCUCCUAGCUCAGCACCCGCACCAUCCACCACACCUGCCCCUCCAGUUCCUGCUCCUGCCACCGUUCCGUCACCUGCCGCCGCACCACCCGCCGAACCGACGGAAGGCGCCGCACGCCUAACCGAGGAAGCCCUCAACGGAGCGAAGAAACCUGCCACUGCUGGGGCCGGGUCGGCCAGCAAACCGAAACCGGUGCAGAAGAAACCGGAGGUGCCGCCGAAACCGGACGUCCACAGCAAGAGUGCCGCCAAAAUGAAGACACCGAUCAAGCAGCCGGGCGGCAAGAGCUCCACGUCUGAUUCCAGGUCGCCGGCAGCGGAGCUAAGUAGAACGGAAGCAUUUAAGAAAAACAUGGACAUUAUAUCGACCAUCGCGGACGUGCUGCUGUCCCAUUCGCGCUCGAAGAAGAACCGUAUCGCGGGCGCUUCGUCGUCCAACGCCAGCAAACCCACUAACAGUCCCUCUUCCUCCACUAGUCUCGAACCAUCAUCAUCAUCAUCAUCCCCCUCAGCAUCAUCGGCGUCACUCUUAUCAUCCCUAUUUCCAUCGCUUUCGCAAUCGCCCGGUAAUCCCGCCGCUAGCACUUCCCAUCAGGCUUCCCCAGCAGAACCAGCCCCGAAACAGAAGUCAAAGCUCGAUCUGGAACGCAUCCUGCGCAUACUGCAAGCCUCACAGCCAUCCUCUGGUGCGGCCGGCACAGAGUCCGGUCAAGCGACAGCUUCGCCAUCCACAUCUGGCACCAGAUCGGGCCAACCGUCUUCGUCCGGGCUAGAACCCUCGGAGAUGCUACCAUCCGGCACGGAUGGUGAUGAAAAUCCGCUCGGAUCGUUUCUAACCAAAGACGCCAUUCGUGCGUUGAUGCCUACCCUGCAGGAGGUGAACGUUAAGUUUAACGUGGAGAAGCAGCUGCAAGCGCUCAACGCAACGGCGGCGAUGGCCAAGAUAAUGCCGAAAACAUUGCCGCCCGGGACGGACACGACCGAGGAGGACGAGCUGGAAGAGGACCUGCUCGAUGAGGAGACGGAAGAUACGAUCGAGUACAAGUUUACACCGCGCCCGGUGUUUAUAGCGACCAUCUGUCAGGUGUGCAAGAACCCGCUGAAGAGUUUCUUCCACUGUGAACGCUGCCUGAUGGUAUCCUACUGUGGAGAUGAACACCGGCGCAUGGAUCAACCGUCCCACCGAGAACUCUGCGCGGUACUGUGUGAAAUUGCGGCUAAUAGAGGAGGACACAUUUACCAGCUGGCAAGGAAGCUUAACGUACAGGAGUAUCGCAAUCUGCGCGUUCACACGCUCAACCAGAUCGAACUAUCGCUGAAACGAUCGAUGCAAGCGUACGAGCGCGAGAUUGUACUGUUUCCACGCAUCUGCAUCACGCCAGAUUGUCGCGAAUGGAGACAGGAGCUGCUGACCGAGUGUACGGAUUGCCGACAGGUUUCGUACUGUACCGCAAAUCCAGCGCACCUGCAAGCUUCACAUCGCCGCUGGUGUAAGGCGUACCUGCUCUUCCAGAAGUUGAUCCUGCGGCAGCGCAUUCUCGGUCGGAUCGAACCCGUUCUUCCGGCACGUAUCCUCUCGAAACCGACCCCACUACCGGCUAACAUAGACGAAGCGUUCAAGCAUUUGUACAAAAACUCAACUGUUCCUCGGGAUGAAUGUGUGUACGCCGUACUGUCACAGAUAGCGACCGCUCCACUGUCCGCACUGUACGCGUACCAGCAGACGGGCCUACCGUUCGGCAGCACAUUCACGAUCCAUCUCGUCGGGGCCGAGCUACAGUUCGAGGGCGACACACUGGACAAGUGGGAAGCGUUCUUCCUUCACCUCGUACCGGAGGUCGCCGUACUGCGAGUGGUUUUCGUCGGUCCGGAACUGAACGUUGAGAAUCUGCCGAUCGACGUCAUCAGCCGCAUAAGCAUGCGUGAGUAUGGGUGAGAGAUUUACUGACAGCCGAAAGACAACAUGUCCAGGUAAGGAUUGAUAGCGAGCAACAGCUUCCACUAUUGGGGAACUGGGUAAGAAUGUGCCGCACCUGUCGCAUGAAGUGCCGCGUGGUUGCGUUCGAUUUCCAGUGUCGCACGAUGUACCACGACUAUCGGCACAGCUCCCGAUACCAACGACCGAACCUGAUCUGUUUCUUCAACCCCGGACUGCACCGUACCACCGGCUUUGCCGGGCUGGACAGCUGGCCAACAACGAUCCGUGCCGCGACCGAGCCAGGCUGCCCGAUGCUGGUGACGGCUUACACCGAGCUCGAAUCACCGCUCGAUCUGGAACGGCUGCAGCGUGAGUCGACGCGCACACUUCAGAUCGUGCAAGCACCGUCGGUAAAUCCGUUCGCUUCCAAGCGCCCCGAUCGCAACUUCAUCUCGGACGAUACGGCGCCGAUGAUCUUCAAGAACUACUACUACUUUGUGGUGAAGUAGAGGAGCAACACCCCACCAACUCGAAGUUUUACCAGCGGAAGCGUCCCCUACGCACCGUCGAUAUAAUGUUCAUGCACCACUUUCGUUUUUGCUUUUGUUUUUGAAUGCUUUUAAUUUCAUCUUUUCCACUCUCAACCUUUGACAUUGCGCGACCGGCCAGUGUCGCGAAACUCGUCGAAGAAUUUCCUUACUCGUACUUUUGCAACACACUUUACGAUGUGCAAUAAACCAUGUGUAUCAGUGAGUUAAUUUA